ACUGAUGGGCAUAUCUGUUAACUUGAGGGUGUGUGUGUAUUGAGAAUAGUCAGAAUCUUUUCUAGUUAUUUUGAAAUUAAGAUUGCUGUCCAUCAUUCACUCCUCUGUUACAGGACAUUAGAAGUUUCUCCUUCUAACCAAGCUCAUGUCUGUAACAUUUCAGUAUUUGGGGAGGUUGAGGUAGUAGGAUUAUCAUGAGUUUGAGGCCAGCUGCGUCUCAGAGUGACGAAUGCACACUGUCCCCCUUUCCCUUGAACCCCCAGAAACCCCCAGGUUCUGCUAACCUCUCUUCUUCUAUGUUAAGUUUUGAGGUUGACUCUUUCAUUCUUGCACAUGAGACCAUGUACUACUACUUUGCACACUUGGGGUGUGUGUGUGUGUGUGUGUGUGUGUGUGUGUGUGUGUUAAUCGUACAGUAUGUACCUGCCAUGUGCAGCCUCAAUGCCAUGGGCACGGCCAUUUCUCAAAAGUCCUCUGGUUCCUCUCACAGUUCCUCCCUGGCAUUCUCUUUAUCCUCUGUGAACUAGUGUAAGCCAGGAGAGGGAACAGUUACACUUAUUACUCAAAGAAAAUGACUUAGGAUGUCUCUUCUGCCUCCCUCUAAAUCCUACCUUUACUCUUGUCUGCUUUCUCAUUUCUUUGUCUUAUCUUAUUGCAUAAUCCAUCCUGACCCAGAUCUCUAAACCCUCUUGCCACAACCUGCUUAAUUUUGGGGUUAUGGUUGUGUGGUAUACUGUACUUCCCACAAAGGAAGGGUGUGAUAGCAGACACUUUUAAUCCCAGGACGUGGGAGGCAUAUGCAGCUACCUGGUUUGUAUAUGAGUUCCAGAACAGCCAGAGCUACAUAAUGAGGUCUUUUUUCCAAAAAAAAAAAAAAAAGACUAUAGUGAUUGUCGUGGGGUGUUCUGUCCUGACUGUAGUAAGUACCGUGACUGUAGGUGUUAUUUAUAGAAAGUUUUAGAGAAAGCAGACAUCUUAAUUCAUCUUAAAGACAUGAAACAGAAGAUUGGUGCUUUGAAAAUUUGGAAAACCAGAAGACACAGUGAUGUUGGUGCAAACACAGGGCCCCUGAGCACGGGGACUGCAGACACGGAUGCCAACCACUUCUCUUUCUGCUGUUGGAGCAGGUUCUAUUUCUGCCAUGCAGGGCAAACUAACACAGACCUUAUCAUGAACUAGUAACAGAAUUGUAGUCUCUGCUUAACUGAAAAGUUGGAUAUAGCUCAGAUCCCUUUGAUGCUACGAAAUGGCACGGUGACUUGUGUAUUUAUAUUUAUAGAUUAACAACAGCAGCAUUUGCCCCGUCACCUUAAUCAGGUCUUGCUGACUGUCUCGUUAAUCAGUACACAUGCUGGCUGAGCUCAGUGCCGCUGCAGGAAGCCCUGCACAGCAGUGCCAAUGGCCACUUUGCAAAGAGCCAGGCAAACAUCCGGGUUUCUGUUCUGAUGGGCUUCUUCAGUCCUCUCAUAGCCUCCCUUUCCUGAAUUCCAUGAGUUCUUUAUUGUCCGUUUCUUCCCAGUUCUUCUGUGUCUGUUACUUUAGAAGUUAGCAUGGAAGGGAAACAUGGCAGUACCUCUUUCCUCUAGCUUGCCUUUGCUCUAUCUGAGAAGAGAGCUGCUCCUCUCGCUCAUAGAUUUGUAGAGAAAAGGAAUUGAAUUUGUUUGUAAGCAUGUCCUAGACAGUCGGCUGAGAGUCCCCGGGGCAUCCUGCUAGCAGGAGGUGGCUAGAGUUAGAUCAAGGAUACACAGAAGUGUUUGGAGGCUAGUCAGAGGUUCUGAACAUUUACUGUUUAAUUCUCUUACUAGUUGUGGAAAGAGACAAACUGUAACUUUGUAAAGUUUCCCUGAGGUGGUCUAGAGCUCUGUCCCAGGUUGAUGGAAAAAUUUCCUGUGGCUCUCUAGCUGGGAGUAUGUUCUAGUUUGUAGCAACUCCUAAGUCUGUUUUCUGUUACUUUGGUGAGGUCUCCAUCACUAGCUGACUGUGGCUUUAGUGAAGGCAAGGGAAGCUUCUGGAGAAGAAAAGGAAGAUGGGUAAUUUUGGUUCAUGAGGUCUACUGCUGCUUGAGGUCUGGGAAUGGCCAGAGGGGAAGCACAUUACCUCCAGUGUGGACUAGCACCAGCUCCUUGGCUGGAGAUCGUAGCUGUGCAGUUGUGCGCCUCCUAGAGCUUGUUCCUGAGUAAUGGUGUUGGAUCAAGUAGGUGUCCACCAGACCUGUUGUCUGGAGCACCGCUUGAGGGGAACCCAUGCUGGCCUCAGCAGAUUCAGUGGUCUUAGAGCUGCUCUCCACAUCUCAGAAUCUAGUGCUGGUCUUCGCUGGCAGUGGCAGUGUGGACCCUUCACCUUCCUAAGUGCUGUUUUAGGCUCUUGUUAGAAUCAUAGUAAACUCCUUCUUGUCUUCUCCCCAAACCACAAAAGACUGGUUACAAUUUUUAAUUGAUCGUUAUUUUAAAAACCAGCUGGAUUGUUGUCAGCAGGGCACAGUUGCAUUUAAAGGCUGUCAGAACUGCCAUGUGUCUGGGUAGGAAGCACAGGUCUCCACUCAUGGAAGGUCAGGAUGUGCUCGGGAGCAUCUGACAACGUGGAAGUCACAUUAGCCUUGGGUGGUCUGCACCUAACACUUCUGGCUGGGACUGAUGAAUAAUAGGCAGAAAUUGGGGGAGCUGUUUCUGUAAGGUAAGGAAUUUUAAGAAUGAUUUAGAAGACCUUUAAAAAGCAUCUGAAAGUCGUCUUAUUGUCAAGAAAGUUUUAUGAAUAGAUGUUUCAUAGUGGGUGUGUUACACACAGUACUUGAUCUGAACAGUCCUAGUGCUUCUUUUUAAUAUGAGAUCGUCUAGGAAAGCAAAACCUGAGUUAAUGCCACACUGCCAGCUUUUUGCCUUUUGUUACAAACAUGCUGAAAUGGUCUCAAUAAUGAUGCUACUAAAACACCGCGUGCAUCGUUCUGAUGGGGUAUCGAUUCCUUCUGCAGUGUUCAGCGUUGCCUGCAUGCCUCCCAGCAGCAAACGUGUGUGUGCCAGGCUGUGUGAGCUGAGUGUUCCAAACGGAAUGUUAGUUUACUUUUCAUAGCUGUGCAGCUUAAGGGAGAGCAAUAGUUUUAGAGAUGGGGCCUUAAGGCACUAACACACUGGAAUCCAGUGCAUGCCAUCUGCAGUUAUUUUAACAAAACCUAAUCAGAGGAAGGCAAAACUGGCAUUCAUAAAAUUAUUUUAUUGAUUGCCAUAAGCCGCUAGAAGGAAUACCUUAUUCCUUUUAACAAGUCCUUUUGGACAGUUGUCUGUGUUUUAAUGUGUAAGGGUAUGGAGAGGUGAGUUCAAUGGGGUUACCUCAAGUGCUGGAUGUGGCAGCCUGAGACCAAGGUGGGAGAGUGGGAGUGCUGCUACGAUGCGAUUCUCAGGAGUGCUCCCCACACCAAGCUCCCUCGGCAGCUGCUCCUCGCCCCUCAGGUGGCGGGGCUGGCUGGCAGAGCUUCUUAGGCAUUGUCAGGUCAGCAUAAGGACCCUGGAUCCCAAAUGAGGAAACUACUUGCCCAGGCUUAAUUUCCAAAGUGAAGAUAGGUGUGGUCGUCAGUUCUCAGGGAAUGAGCACUUACUGCCCUGUCGCUGCUCAGCUUGUGAUGUGACACAACUAGGUGGUAGUUAAACUUCAAACAAAGCCGGGGCUUUCCUGUUCCUUGUAGGGCAUGAGUUAGGUUGUUAGUGGAGCAGAGUAUAGUCCUGGGUGAGAGACGGAGCCUGGUCUUCCUCAUGGCAGGCCCUGAUGCUAACUGUGAUUCCAACAGACACAGCAAGUGUUAUUUUGCUUAAAAUGUCCUUUCCCUUGUGCAGUGCAAGUUGAACAUAGGAACAGACUUAAUAGGUAUAGUUAUACAGUUUAUUUUAAUCAUGUAUAACUUUAUUGCUGUCUUCUAGAACAUUGUUAUACUAAAUGUUUCAAUAAUGGGAAUUUUAUGUAGCUGCUUCAAAUGAAAGAAAUUUGCAAAAACUCAAUUUUGGAACUCAUUACUUGAAGAGAAGGAAAAAAGAAAGAAGGAAAGAGAGAAAGAAAGAAAACCAACUCACCAUGUUGUGACCAAAUUAGAUUCCUGAUAUGUUGGCAACUUAUCGAACAUUGUCGUUUCCAGAAAACAGGGUGUGGAUUCCAACUGAAAUGAAAUGCCAGUACUUUUAGCCAC
rnacentral:sRNA from 1 species